rnacentral:tRNA from 1 species
GGGUGGGUGGCUCAGUGGUUAGAUCCUAGGGCUUGGGAGCGGAAGGUCCCGGGUUCGAAUCUCGUGACCGGUGG